rnacentral:rRNA from 1 species
CAUAGCGACUAUCGUGGCAUAUCAAUAAGCGGAGGAAAAGAAACUAACAAGGAUUCCCUUAGUAACGGCGAGUGAAGCGGGAAGAGCUCAAAUUUGAAAUCUUCAAGGUUCUACCUUGACGAAUUGUAGUUCAUAGAAGUGUUUUCUGUUAGUAGAGUGGCAAAAGUUCUUUGGAAUAGGACAUCAUAGAGGGUGAGAAUCCCGUAUUUGGUCAUUCUUUCUAGCUUUGUGAUACACUUUCAACGAGUCGGAUUGUUUGGGAAUGCAGUCCAAAAUGGGUGGUAAAUUUCAUCUAAAGCUAAAUACUGGCGAGAGACCGAUAGCGAACAAGUACCGUGAGGGAAAGAUGAAAAGAACUUUGAAAAGAGAGUUAAACAGUACGUGAAAUUGUCAAAAGGGAAGCGUUUGACACCAGUGUUGUUUUCUCGAACAUCAAUUAAAAAUGGCCGGAUUUUGUGUUGUAUUGACUUUAUCAGCUUUCUGCACUUUUUUCUUGUCUUUUUUAAUGCACUUUUCGUUUAACAAGUCAACAUCAAUUUCUUUUGCUGUAAAAGAGUCAUUGGAAGGUGGCUUUCUUUUCGGAGAAAGUGUUUAUAGCCUUUGACUUCUGCAGUCGGAGAGAUUGAGGUCUGCAGCGUAGAUCCUUCGGGGUUAGAUACAUUUGUGCUAAGCUAUAGCCUUUCAUAGACAACUUGUUGACUAUGAUCAGUCAUGUAGCUUACUCGCUUAUGCUAUUUUACCUACGCUUAGGAUGUUGAAGAUAUGCGCGACACG